GUACUGUGUUAGGCAGCAUGUAGACCAAAGUUAGAACAUUACAGGGAAGGUUAGCAUGGUCCUGUGCAAGGAUGGCAUGCAAAUCCGUGAAGCAUUCCAUAUUCUU
rnacentral:snRNA from 1 species